rnacentral:snRNA from 1 species
UUGCUUCAGCAGCACAUAUACUAAAAUUGGAAUGAUACAGAGAAUGUUAGCAUGGCCCCUGUGCAAGGAUGACAUGCAAAUUUGUGAAGUGUUCCAUAUUUUU